CAGUCGCCACGGGAAUACGGAGGGGGCUAGCGUUGUUCGGAAUUACUGGGCGUAAAGCGCGCGUAGGCGGCUUGGUAAGUUAGAGGUGAAAGCCUGGGGCUCAACCCCAGAAUUGCCUUUAAGACUGCCGAGCUAGUAGGUGAGAGAGGUAAGUGGAAUUCCGAGUGUAGAGGUGAAAUUCGUAGAUAUUCGGAAGAACACCAGUGGCGAAGGCGGCUUACUGGCUCAUUCUAGACGCUGAGGUGCGAAAGCGUGGGGAGCAAACAGGAUUAGAUACCCCCGUAGUCCCUGUCUCUUAUAA
rnacentral:rRNA from 1 species